rfam:Triticum aestivum genome assembly, contig: Triticum_aestivum_CS42_TGACv1_scaffold_112965_2AS
GAUGUACUCCAUCCGUCCCAAAAUUCUUGUCUUAGAUUCGUCUAGAUAAAGAUGUAUCUAAUAUUAAAACAUGACUUGAUAUAUCCGUAUUUAGACAAAUUUAAGACAAAAAAUUUGGGACGAAGGGAGUAAUAA